CUUUGGGCUGCUGAGCUGUGUGCUGAACCAUAAGGAAGGUGGCUGUAAAGGUGUGCCGUGCAGAUGUCGUGUGCCCAGCAGUCGGGCCGAUGAAGAGCAACAAAUGAAGCGCCAGUGGCUCGGAUGGCUUCUCGCCUCCUGGGUGCCCUUGCCUCUUUCCUUGCCAUGGCCUUGAGGCUUUUCCUCAGCUGGCUGGCUGAUCCUUUCCCCGGCAGCUGCCCUUUCCUCCUGCCAGGCACACAUGCUGGAAAAGGUAAAUCUGAAGCCUAAUGCCAAAGGGUAUCCCUUAAUCCUAAAGCCUGUCCCCAAAUGGGAAACCCUUAACUCGUAAUUCUAAUCCAAAAG
ensembl:lncRNA